CAGUAGCCGCGGUAAAACGGAGGAUCCAAGCGUUAUCCGGAAUCAUUGGGUUUAAAGGGUCCGUAGGCGGUCUUGUAAGUCAGUGGUGAAAGCCCAUCGCUCAACGGUGGAACGGCCAUUGAUACUGCAGGACUUGAAUUAUUGGGAAGUAACUAGAAUAUGUAGUGUAGCGGUGAAAUGCUUAGAGAUUACAUGGAAUACCAAUUGCGAAGGCAGGUUACUACCAAUUGAUUGACGCUGAUGGACGAAAGCGUGGGUAGCGAACAGGAUUAGAUACCCGCGUAGUCCCUGUCUCUUAUAA
rnacentral:rRNA from 1 species